GAUGAACGCUGGCGGCGUGCCUAACACAUGCAAGUCGAACGGAGCUGCUUUGAUGAAGUUUUCGGAUGGAUUUAAAACAGCUUAGUGGCGGACGGGUGAGUAACGCGUGGGUAACCUGCCUCACACUGGGGGAUAACAGUUAGAAAUAGCUGCUAAUACCGCAUAAGCGCACGGUUCCGCAUGGAACAGUGUGAAAAACUCCGGUGGUGUGAGAUGGACCCGCGUCUGAUUAGCCAGUUGGCGGGGUAACGGCCCACCAAAGCGACGAUCAGUAGCCGGCCUGAGAGGGUGAACGGCCACAUUGGGACUGAGACACGGCCCAAACUCCUACGGGAGGCAGCAGUGGGGAAUAUUGCACAAUGGGGGAAACCCUGAUGCAGCGACGCCGCGUGAGUGAAGAAGUAUUUCGGUAUGUAAAGCUCUAUCAGCAGGGAAGAAAGUGACGGUACCUGAAUAAGAAGCC
rnacentral:rRNA from 1 species